rnacentral:rRNA from 1 species
UACGUAGGUGGCAAGCGUUGUCCGGAUUUAUUGGGUUUAAAGGGUGCGUAGGCGGUCUUUUAAGUCAGUGCUGAAAUACUCCAGCUUAACUGGAGGGGUGGCAUUGAUACUGGAAGACUUGAGUAUAGUUGAGGUAGGCGGAAUUGACGGUGUAGCGGUGAAAUGCUUAGAUAUCGUCAAGAACACCGAUAGUGAAGACAGCUUACUAAACUAUAACUGACGCUGAGGCACGAAAGUGUGGGGAUCAAGACGG